GGUCUACCCCAGACACAAACGAUCACAUGUAAGUAUUGUGUGUUUAAUUGGAGGGCAAGUUUUGGGGCCAGCACCCGCGGAAAUANCACCGGCUAACUCUGUGCCAGCAG
rnacentral:rRNA from 1 species